rnacentral:rRNA from 1 species
CCUACGGGGCGCAGCAGUGAGGAAUAUUUGUCAAUGGACGCAAGUCUGAACCAGCGAUGCCGCGUGCAGGAAGACGGCUCUAUGAGUUGUAAACUGCUUUUGUACGAGGGUAAACGCAGAUACGCGUAUCUGUCUGAAAGUAUCGUACGAAUAAGGAUCGGCUAACUCCGUGCCAGCAGCCGCGGUAAUCCGGAGGAUUCAUGCGUUAUCCGGAUUUAUUGGGUUUAAAGGGUGCGUAGGCGGUCGGAUAAGUUAGAGGUGAAAGCCCGAGGCUCAACUUCGGAAUUGCGUCUGAUACUGUUCGGCUAGAGAGUAGUUGCGGUAGGCGGAAUGUAUGGUGUAGCGGUGAAAUGCUUAGAGAUCAUACAGAACACCGAUUGCGAAGGCAGCUUACCAAGCUACUUCUGACGUUGAGGCACGAAAGCGUGGGGAGCAAACAGGAUUAGAUACCCGAGUAGUC